CCGCAGAGCCGGCCGUGGGCCGGGCCGGGCCCGAAGCAGCCGGGUCGCCUUCCCUCCCCGAGGCUGCUUCUUCCUCCGGGAGCGAUGGGAAAGGCAGAAGUGAAGGACUUGCCAUAGCAUCACCCAGGGGAGGGCUAAUACCCUCCUGUUUGAUAUCGAAGUGGGGAGUGACCCAGAUUUCAGACCCGUCUUGGACAAUAAGGGCAAGUAUCAUCCUUCCCUUGCGACCAGAUGGGUUUGACAACCUGGACCAAGAGAGACUGGCUGAUCCAUGAAGCGCUUUGAGGCCUGAGGAGGAGAGAUGCUGAUGAAGAGCUGGGAGAGCAUGAUGAGGAUGCAGGACCACCCAGGGUUUUAUUCACAGAGUUGGAAUGAGGUGCAAAAGGGAUAAAGAUCAUUCAUGGGAACCUUGAAAGAAUUGUCUGAGCUCUAUGAAAUGAAGAUUAAAAAUAAAACAGUGCUGCUCCUACUCUGCUUUCACGGUGUGUGAUGCACAAAGGUGUGAAGAGCAAGAAGGGUCAUAUUCUACCUGAUCCCC